UAUAUGUCAACUGCUGAAGCACUAUGCAUAAAAAACACAUUAACUGAUCAAAUUGGUCUUGGCCGUCUUAUCUCAAAGCACGAAAUGUUCUGUUUUGAGAAAACAGUGUUUAAAACAUUUGAACUUUUGCUUGAAUAUCUUAUAUUUCGAAAAACAGUAUAAACUGUACGAUCUAAAUUUAGUUUGCACGGUCUAAAUUUAGUUUGCACGAAAGUUGUAAACAACACCAUAUAAGGACAGACAUUCCAUAUUUGGAAAAACGAACGUUACGGGGCAGAUAUUCAAAUUCAUUAGUCAUCGAUGCAGGCUCUCAAUUCAGCUUGAGAGCCUGUUCGCAGGCUACCUUUU